GGAGAGGGUGGUUGUAGCUCAGUGGUAGAGCAUCUGCUUCGCAUGCAGGAGGACCCAGGUUCAAUCCCUAGCUUCUUCA